UUCUCGUACGAUCACUGAAGUUAAGCAACAUCGAACCUGGUCAGUACAUAGAUGGGUAACCGCCUGGGAAUACCAGGGGUU